rfam:Picea glauca, whole genome shotgun sequence.
ACAUGCCUACAACAUAGCAUUAAUGCACUGGAUCCCAUUAUAACUCUGCAGUUAAGCACACCCGGGCUAGAGCAGUACUGGGAUGGGUGACUGCCCGAGAAAUCCUAGUAUUUUACAUGCC